rnacentral:lncRNA from 12 species
AUGUUCUGGGAGUGUUUAAUGCACACAGCUGGGGCUGCACAGUUCAUCUCACCUGCGGCCGGGCCGGCACCGGGGACAAGCACACCUGGGCCCAGGUGGCACAUCUGGAGGCAGGGCAGCACAUCUGGAGCUGGCACAGAGCUCGGCCAGGGCAGGUGCCAGAGCCCCUGGGAGCUGCUGGUUCCUGCAUUUCCCAGGCCCCUGAUGUUCUGCUGCCAUUUCACUGGUGUGUCCCUAUCACUCACUGGUGUGUCCCUGUCACUCACUGGUGUGUCCCUGUCACUGGUGUGUCCCCAUCACUCACUGGUGUGUCCCCGGGAAUUUCAGCUCUGGGAUGUUCUGGGAGUGUUUAAUGCACACAGCUGGGGCUGCACAGUUCAUCUCACCUGCGGCCGGGCCGGCACCGGGGACAAGCACACCUGGGCCCAGGUGGCACAUCUGGAGGCAGGGCAGCACAUCUGGAGCUGGCACAGAGCGGUGGAAUGUGGAGCUCGGCCAGGGCAGGUGCCAGAGCCCCUGGGAGCUGCUGGUUCCUGCAUUUCCCAGGCCCCUGAUGUUCUGCUGCCAUUUCACUGGUGUGUCCCUGUCACUGGUGUGUCCCUGUCACUCACUGAUGUGUGCCUAUCACUGGUGUGUGCCUGUCACCUGGUGUGUCCCUGUCACUCACUGGUGUGUCCCUGUCACUCACUGGUGUGUCCCUGUCACUGGUGUGUCCUUGUCACUGGUGUGUCCUUAUCUCUUCCUGAGCACCCAGAGCUGCAGGGCAGCAGAGCCAGGGCUCACACCAGGCUCUUUCCCGUGCUCAGGAAUCUCAGUUGCUGUCACAUUUCCUCUGAGGCAGCUGCACUGCUGGACUUUCCAACCCACCCCACUGUGUUUUUGGGGCUCCCUGUGGUUUGCUCAGGUAUUCCUUAGAGCUGAGGGCAGGCUUGGGUUGGGUUUUAGGGAGAAAACUCCUGAGGCCGGCACAGCCCAGCACAGUCCUGGGGUGCAGGGCUGCCCAGCCUGGCAUAGGGCUGGGCUCUGGCCCCUUUCCCCCCCCCAGCAGCAGCAGUCGGGCUUUGGGGGCACCAUUCCCUGAGCCCUGGGGCUGAGCUCUGCUUUCCCCACACCCUGGGAUCUCCCUGGGGCUGCCUUUGCCCUGCCCGGCCCCUGUGCCAGCCCCUCACUGCCACUGUCACUGGUCACUGUCACUGCCACUGCCUUGGUCACUGUGACUGUCACUGCCUCUGUCACUGUGACUGUCACUGGUCACUGUCACUGCCAUUCUCACUGCCUCUGUCACUGCCUUGGUCACUGCCUCUGUGACUCACUGUGACUGUCACUGGUCACUGUCACUGCCUCUGUCACUGUCAUUCUCACUGCCACUGUCACUGCCUUGGUCACUGCCUCUGUGAUUGUCACUGGUCACUGCCACUGUGACUGCCUCUGUCUCUGUCACUGUCACUGGUCACUGGCCACUGCCUCUGUCACUGCCUCUGUCUCUGGUACUCUCACUGUCACUCCUACUGCCACUGCCUCAGCCACUGUCACUCUCACUGCCACUGCCAUUGUCACUGCCACUGCUUCUGUCACUGCCACUCUCACUGUCACUGUCUCUGCCUUUAUGACUGUCACUGUCACUCUGUCACUGUUUUUGUCACUGCUACUGUCACUCUCUGUCACUGUCACUGCCUCUGUCUCUGUCACUGACUCUGUCACUGCCACUGCCUCUGUCUCUGUCACUCUCACUGUCACUGCCUCUGUCACUCUCACUGUCACUCCCACUGUCACUCUCACUGCUCCAUCCGUGCCCCCUCGCUGUGCCCGGAUGCCCUCUCCCCUCCCUGGGCUGUGCCCUCAGCCCUGCAGCCCUCGGCUGUCACACGAGGUGAAGACGACAGCAGAUAAAUUUAACCCUUGUUAUCUCCGGUGGGCGCGCUGGGAUCCCUGCCCUGCCUCAGCAGGAAGGAAAGAAAGGUCGGGACAAACCCGGCUCUGCUGUCACCCCUGACUGGCACAGGCUCGUCCCCUUCUCCUGCUGCCACCCCUGCCGGCUGACACCCUGACACCUGAUCCCAAAAUCCGUGGAGAGGGCUCCCGGGGGACAGGGAGGUGCCAGGGGGAUGGGGACAGCGCUGCGCGCCUCAGAGGCGCUGGCACCGCGCUCCGGGCAGGACCGGGCUCCUCCUGCCCCUGCAAAUAUCCCCGAGCCCCCGCUCUGCCACCGGCUCAGGACAGCUGGGGCUCGGAGCAGGAACAAGGAAGGUGAUGCCAAUGCCAAAGAAGGCUCGACUGUGAUUUUUGGCCGGGGUAAAAGGACACCUGAGAUAUGGGAAAGUUGCUCCCGGACUCUGAAGUCAGUUUGUCCUUCCUGUGAGCCAUGCCAGGGAACACUCCCCCCGCUCCUGCCCUGUGAGCAGGGACGUGAAUCGGCCGGGAAAAGGAAAGUUUGGGCAGAGUUUGCCUCUCCCUGCCAGGGGGGAGUGCCAGGCAAGCCGGGGCGGGCGGCAGCUCCUGCCCACGGGGCCACCACCCCCAGCUCCCUCUGCAGGCCCUGGCUGGGCCCAGGCAGGUCCUGGCAGCGAGGAAAUUGGGAAUAAUGCUCCCCAAAAGGGGCUGUAAACACAGCCACGGGCAAUGAACCUUCCCUCCCCACUUUGGGAGCGAGCCCAAAUCAACCCUGGAGGGCUUUGAAAGCCGUGUGGAUGGGCAUGGGACAGGGGUGGCCUGGCGGUGCUGGAAUGGUUGGACUGGACGGUCUUUGAGGGCUUUUCCAGCCGAAAUGAUCCAAGUUUUUGUGGAAUCGCUGCUAUUCCCACGCUGAGGCUGCUCCCGUGCCCACCCUGCAUCCCUCCCACCCCACCUGGGGCAGCCCUGUCCCUGUCGCCGUGUCCUGUCCCUGUCGCCGUGUCCUGUCCUUGUCGCCGUGUCCUGUCCCUGUCGCCGUGUCCUGUCCCUCGGGACACUUUGUCCAGGGGGGACAGAGAGCUGUGGCCGCGUGGGGCUGAUGGGUGCCCGAAUUCCCCAGCGGUGCCUCGAGGCGUGCGUGUCACUCCUUGUCCCCCAGCCCCAUCUGUUCUCCCCCGCGGGGCGGAGGCGUUUUUGUGCUCCGAGCUGCCUUGAUUUGGGAUUUUUCCACUUGGCAGAGCAUAGCCCGGAGGGGAAGAUUAAAUCUCUGAAAGGGAAGGGCCGGUGCCAAAAUCCUGCGUGCGGGGUCACCCGAGGGCGACACCCGGCAGGCUGCUGAGCCCCCGGGGCCACCGUGCAGGGACGGGGGGCCAGCACCCCCCCCCCCCCCCCCCCCCCCCCCCCCCCCCGGGGUCCCCCGAGGGCGACACCCGGCAGGCUGCUGAGCCCCCGGGGCCACCGUGCAGGGACGGGGGGCCAGCACGGCUCCGACCCCCAGUUCUGCUGUGGGGAGGGAUCCCUGUUCCCCUGCCCGCACAGGGGACACGUGCUUGGUGUCCCCUUGUCCCUGCAGUGCCCCACACGCAGUGCCCGGUGUCGCCCCGUGUGUGACCCAGCCUGUCCCCUCUCCGUGCCCCCCAUGCCAGACCGGGGGUUCCCCUCAGCAGUGCUGCCCAAACCAACUCCCGUGAGGUGAACGGGCCCCCCUUGCUGUGCCCCCACAUCAGCCCCCGUCCCACCCCACCAAUGCCCCAUCACUGUCCCCCAUCCCACCCCCUGUGCAAUGUCCCCCAUCACUGCCCUGCACCCCAUCUCCCUGUGCAAUGUCCACAUGCCAUGCCAUGCCAUCGAUCCCAGUGAUCCCAUCCCAUUUUUCCCAUCGAACCCAUCCCAGUGAUCCCAUCCCAUUGAAUCCCGUUGAAUCCUAUUGAAUCCCACCUCAUCCCAUCCCACUAUCCCCCCCCACUAUCCCCUCACCACUACUCCACUAUCCCACCCCAUUUACCCCUUUAUCCCAUCCCAUUUACCCCUUUCCCAUCCCGUUAUCCCAUCCCGUUAUCCCAUCCCGUUAUCCCAUCCCGUUAUCCCAUCCCGUUAUCCCAUCCCGUUAUCCCAUCCCGUUAUCCCAUCCCGUUAUCCCAUCCCGUUAUCCCAUCCCGUUAUCCCAUCCCGUUAUCCCAUCCCGUUAUCCCAUCCCGUUAUCCCAUCCCGU